CUGCAAUGAUGCUUUGAAUUUCUUCACCUGAAUUAAUGCUGAAGAUCAAAAACACGAGCUUUUUAACCCUGAGCAAC